rnacentral:rRNA from 1 species
AUGAAGAAGUAUGCUGAUCGCAAGCGCACUGAACGGACACUAGAAGUGGGUGACAUGGUCUACCUUAAAAUGCAACCAUACCGGCUAAAUGCUUUCGGUUUGCGCACACAUAUCAAGUUACAGAGAAAGUACCACGACCCUUUCCGUGUUAUGGCCAAAGUGGGGCGCAUAGCCUACAAGCUCCUACUGCCGGACAGCACAAAUAUCCAUCCGAUCUUCCACGUCAGCCAGUUGAAGAAACAUGUUGGCCCCAAGGCAGUCCCUUGUGCUGAUUUACCACUUGUGCGACCAGAUGGCCUGAUCCAGACAAAACCGGUGAUGGUCCUGAAAACCCGUCAAGUACCGCGCAACAACUUGCCUGUGGUGCAAUGGCUAGUUCAGUGGGAAAACAUACCACCUGAUGAAGCUUCUUGGGAAGAUGCGGCCUUCAUGAAGAAAACCUUUCCCGCAUUUUCAAGGCCACUAUUGAUCGCUGGUUCGACCGCUAACCUCCUUGAGGACAAGUUCGUUCUCAGCCGGGGGUAUUGUCAGGCCUGCACUUUCAGUUACAAGUGUUCUACAUCUUCAGUUAACGAAUGGCUACGAUCUCAGUCAUCGCCAUCGAUCCAACGGCUCGCGAGGCUCGCCGUAUCACUGUACCGUUUCGUUGUAACUGUAGCUUUUCUUUUCCAUUACUGUAGCUGA